rnacentral:rRNA from 1 species
GCGGNGNCUUACCAUGCAAGUUCGUACCAUGAUACCCAGUANUGCUGGGUGGAUUAGUGGCGAACGGGUGAGUAACACGUGGGUGAUCUGCCCUGCACUUCGGGAUAAGCCUGGGAAACUGGGUCUAAUACCGGAUAGGACCUCGGGAUGCAUGUUCCGGGGUGGAAAGGUUUUCCGGUGCAGGAUGGGCCCGCGGCCUAUCAGCUUGUUGGUGGGGUAACGGCCCACCAAGGCGACGACGGGUAGCCGGCCUGAGAGGGCGACCGGCCACACUGGGACUGAGACACGGCCCAGACUCCUACGGGAGGCAGCAGUGGGGAAUAUUGCACAAUGGGCGCAAGCCUGAUGCAGCGACGCCGCGUGAGGGAUGACGGCCUUCGGGUUGUAAACCUCUUUCAGUACCGACGAAGCGCGAGUGACGGUAGGUACAGAAGAAGCACCGGCCAACUACGUGCCAGCAGCCGCGGUAAUACGUAGGGUGCGAGCGUUGUCCGGAAUUACUGGGCGUAAAGAGCUCGUAGGCGGUUUGUCGCGUCGUCUGUGAAAACCCGCAGCUCAACUGCGGGCUUGCAGGCGAUACGGGCAGACUUGAGUACUGCAGGGGAGACUGGAAUUCCUGGUGUAGCGGUGAAAUGCGCAGAUAUCAGGAGGAACACCGGUGGCGAAGGCGGGUCUCUGGGCAGUAACUGACGCUGAGGAGCGAAAGCGUGGGUAGCGAACAGGAUUAGAUACCCUGGUAGUCCACGCCGUAAACGGUGGGCGCUAGGUGUGGGUUUCCUUCCACGGGAUCCGUGCCGUAGCUAACGCAUUAAGCGCCCCGCCUGGGGAGUACGGCCGCAAGGCUAAAACUCAAAGAAUUGACGGGGGCCCNCACAAGCGGCGGAACAUGUGGAUUAAUUCGAUGCAACNCGAAAANCUUACCUGGGUUNGACAUACACNGACCNCCCCAAAAAUGGGGUUUCCCUUGUGGUCGGUGUACAGGUGGGCAUGGCUNUCCNNCCUCCUGUCCUGAAAUNUUGGNUNAAUCCCCAACANCGCANCCNUNUNCUGGNUGCNNCAUUCGUUGGGACCCNAGAANUGCNGGUCACUCGAGAAGGGGGAAAAUCA